GAUGAACGCUGGCGGCGUGCCUAAACACAUUCAAGUCGAACGGGCAGUAGCGAUACUGUCAGUGGCGGACGGGUGAGUAAUACAUGAGCAAACCUGCCUUAAAAGAGGGGGAUAACACUGGGAAACCGGUGCUAAUACCGCAUGACGCAUAGAGGAGGCAUCUCCUUUAUGCCAAAAGGAGCAAUCCGCUUUAAGAUGGGCUCAUGUCUGAUUAGAUAGUUGGUAGGGUAACGGCCUACCAAGUCUACGAUCAGUAGCCGGACUGAGAGGUCGGACGGCCACAUUGGAACUGAGAUACGGUCCAGACUCCUACGGGAGGCAGCAGUGGGGAAUAUUGGGCAAUGGGCGAAAGCCUGACCCCAGCGACGCCGCGUGAGGGAAGAAGGUCUUCGGAUUGUAAACCUCUGUUGACAGGGACGAAGGAAGUGACGGUACCUGUUGAGGAAGCCACGGCUAACUACGUG
rnacentral:rRNA from 1 species